UAGGGAAUCUUCGGCAAUGGACGAAAGUCUGACCGAGCAACGCCGCGUGAGUGAAGAAGGUUUUCGGAUCGUAAAACUCUGUUGCCAGGGAAGAAUGGCUGGAAGAGUAACUGCUUCUGGUAUGACGGUACCUGAGAAGAAAGCCCCGGCUAACUACGUGCCAGCAGCCGCGGUAAUACGUAGGGGGCAAGCGUUGUCCGGAAUUAUUGGGCGUAAAGCGCGCGCAGGCGGUUGUUUAAGUCUGGUGUAUAACCUAAGGGCUCAACCCUUGGUCGCAUUGGAAACUGGGCAACUGGAGUGUAGGAGAGGAAAGUGGAAUUCCACGUGUAGCGGUGAAAUGCGUAGAGAUGUGGAGGAACACCAGUGGCGAAGGCGACUUUCUGGCCUAUAACUGACGCUGAGGCGCGAAAGCGUGGGGAGCAAACAG
rnacentral:rRNA from 1 species